rnacentral:rRNA from 1 species
UCGAGCUCGUGCCGUGAGGUGUUGGUAAGUCCCGCAACGAGCGCACCCUAUUGCCAGUUGCUACCAGGUAAUGCUGGGCACUCUGGUGAGACUGCCCCGUUAACGGGAGAAGGUGGGACGACGUCAAGUCAUCAUGGCCCUUACGCCUAGGGCUACACACGUACUACAAUGGCGCAUACAAAGGGCAGCGAUACCGCGAGGUGGAGCCAAUCCCAAAAAGUGCGUCCCAGUCCGGAUUGCAGUCUGCAACUCGACUGCAUGAAGUUGGAAUCGCUAGUAAUUCGAGAUCAGCAUGCUCGGGUGAAUGCGUUCCCGGGCCUU